UACGUAGGUGGCGAGCGUUAUCCGGAAUGAUUGGGCGUAAAGGGCGUGCAGCCGGGCUGACAAGUCAGAUGUGAAAUCCCGCGGCUCAACCGCGGAACUGCAUUUGAAACUGUCAGUCUUGAGUACCGGAGAGGUCAUCGGAAUUCCUUGUGUAGCGGUGAAAUGCGUAGAUAUCGCGCAGAACUCCGAUUGCGAAGGCAGCAUGCCGGCUCCACACUGACGCUGAGGCACGAAAGCGUGGGUAUCGAACAGG
rnacentral:rRNA from 1 species